rnacentral:rRNA from 1 species
AGCGUAGACGGAGUGGCAAGUCUGAUGUGAAAACCCGGGGCUCAACCCCGGGACUGCAUUGGAAACUGUCAAUCUAGAGUACCGGAGAGGUAAGCGGAAUUCCUAGUGUAGCGGUGAAAUGCGUAGAUAUUAGGAGGAACACCAGUGGCGAAGGCGGCUUACUGGACGGUAACUGACGUUGAGGCUCGAAAGCGUGGGAGCAAACA